GAUGAACGCUGGCGGCGUGCUUAACACAUGCAAGUCGAACGGGAAUGCUUCGCUGAUGCGAUUUCGGUCAAAUCUUGAAGCAUUUUAGUGGCGGACGGGUGAGUAACGCGUGGGUAACCUGCCCUGUACAGGGGGACAACAGUUGGAAACGACUGCUAAUACCGCAUAAGCGCACAGCUUCGCAUGAAGCGGGGUGAAAACCUCCGGUGGUACAGGAUGGACCCGCGUCUGAUUAGAUAGUUGGUGAGGUAACGGCCCACCAAGUCGACGAUCAGUAGCCGGCCUGAGAGGGCGAACGGCCACAUUGGGACUGAGACACGGCCCAAACUCCUACGGGAGGCAGCAGUGGGGAAUAUUGCACAAUGGGGGAAACCCUGAUGCAGCGACGCCGCGUGUGUGAAGAAGUAUUUCGGUAUGUAAAGCUCUAUCAGCAGGGAAGAAAGACAUGACGGUACCUGACUAAGAAGCCCCGGCUAACUACGUGCCAGCAGCCGCAGUAA
rnacentral:rRNA from 1 species